rnacentral:rRNA from 1 species
UAGUUGCUUAGUGUUGGGAAUCUGCCCUGUAUUUAUAGGGCAGUUCCUUAAAGUGAUCGGCGGAGUUAGGGCAUACUCUAAGCGUAGUAAUAUUCUUCUCGCUUCUGUAGUUGUCCUGGCGGCUUGCCGUUAAACCCCUAUAUUUCUAGUGGUUGACCUCGGAUUAGGUAGGAAUACCCGCUGAACUUAAGCAUAUCAAUAAGCGGAGGAAAAGAAACCAACAGGGAUUGCCCUAGUAACGGCGAGUGAAGCGGCAACAGCUCAAAUUUGAAAUCUGGCCCUAGCGGUCCGAGUUGUAAUUUGUAGAGGAUGCUUUUGGUUAGGUGCCUUCUGAGUUCCCUGGAACGGGACGCCAGAGAGGGUGAGAGCCCCGUACGGUUGGACACCGAGCCUCUAUAUAGCUCCUUCGACGAGUCGAGUAGUUUGGGAAUGCUGCUCUAAAUGGGAGGUAAAUUUCUUCUAAAGCUAAAUACCGGCCAGAGACCGAUAGCGCACAAGUAGAGUGAUCGAAAGAUGAAAAGUACUUUGAAAAGAGGGUUAAAUAGCACGUGAAAUUGUUGAAAGGGAAGCGUUUGCGACCAGACUUUUUCCAGGCGGAUCAUCCGGUGUUCUCACCGGUGCACUUCGCCUGGUUCAGGCCAGCAUCGGUUCUCUUAGGGGGAUAAAGGCCUGGGGAACGUAGCUCCUUCGGGAGUGUUAUAGCCCCUAGCGUAAUACCCUUCGGGGGACCGAGGAACGCGCA